rnacentral:rRNA from 1 species
GACGAACGCUGGCGGCGUGCUUAACACAUGCAAGUCGAACGGAAAGGCCCCCACUUUUUUGGUGGGGGUGCUCGAGUGGCGAACGGGUGAGUAACACGUGGGUGAUCUGCCCUGUACUUCGGGAUAAGCUUGGGAAACUGGGUCUAAUACCGGAUAGGACCAUGGUUUAGUGUCUCAUGGUGGAAAAAUUAUUGUUUUGGUGCAGGAUGAGCUCGCGGCCUAUCAGCUUGUUGGUGGGGUAAUGGCCUACCAAGGCGUCGACGGGUAGCCGGCCUGAGAGGGUGGACGGCCACAUUGGGGCUGAGAUACGGCCCAGACGCCUACGGGAGGCAGCAGUGGGGAAUAUUGCACAAUGGGCGCAAGCCUGAUGCAGCGACGCCGCGUGGGGGAUGACGGCCUUCGGGUUGUAAACUCCUUUCGUUAGGGACGAAGCCGCACCUUUUUUGGGUGUGGUGACGGUACCUUUGUUAAGAAGCACCGGCUAACUACGUG